GAUGAACGCUGGCGGCGUGCCUAAUACAUGCGAGUCGAGCGAACAGACGAGGAGCUUGCUCCUCUGACGUUAGCGGCGGUCGGGUGAGUAACACGUGGAUAACCUACCUAUAAGACUGGGAUAACUUCGGGAAACCGGAGCUAAUACCGGAUAAUAUAUUGAACCGCAUGGUUCAAUAGUGAAAGACGGUUUUGCUGUCACUUAUAGAUGGAUCCGCGCCGCAUUAGCUAGUUGGUAAGGUAACGGCUUACCAAGGCAACGAUGCGUAGCCGACCUGAGAGGGUGAUCGGCCACACUGGAACUGAGACACGGUCCAGACUCCUACGGGAGGCAGCAGUAGGGAAUCUUCCGCAAUGGGCGAAAGCUUGACGGAGCAACGCCGCGUGAGUGAUGAAGGUCUUCGGAUCGUAAAACUCUGUUAUUAGGGAAGAACAAAUGUGUAAGUAACUAUGCACGUCUUGACGGUACCUAAUCAGAAAGCCACGGCUAACUACGUG
rnacentral:rRNA from 1 species